GUGCAGCAGUCGCGAAAACUUUACAAUGCGGGAAACCGUGAUAAGGGAAUCUCGAGUGCCAGCAUAUAAUGUUGGCUGUCCAGAUGCCUAAAAAGCAUCUGUUAGCAAGGGCCGGGCAAGACCGGUGCCAGCCGCCGCGGUAACACCGGCGGCCCGAGUGGUAACCGUUUUUAUUGGGUCUAAAGGGUCUGUAGCCGGCCAUGUAAGUCCCUUGGGAAAUCUGGCAGCUCAACUGUCAGGCUGCUAGGGGAUACUGCUUGGCUUGGGACCGGGAGAGGUGAGAGGUACCUUGAGGGUAGGGGUGAAAUCUUGUGAUCCUCGGGGGACCACCAGUGGCGAAGGCGUCUCACCAGAACGGGUCCGACGGUAAGGGACGAAAGCUAGGGGCACGAACCGGAUUAGAUACCCAGGUAGUCC
rnacentral:rRNA from 1 species